AUAUUUAAUAUCAUGAAUAACAGUGAUGUAGAAAUCGAUUCAAUUUCUGCGAGCAAUUCGACACACUAGAUUUUCACCAGAAAACACAUGCAAAAUCCCUAACUAGGAGUGAGAAUAGGUUUACCCAACUUCUCCGCUACCGGAGAAGAACGACCUUCAAUAUACAAUCAAAACCCUAGCUCCGAGUGAUAUAAGCCCAAAACUUGUGACUCCGCCGGAAUCAAGCUCAAAAGGCGUCGGAAAUCUACCCAAAACACCGAGCUCAAGAGAAUGCCAACAAACGAAACCAGAAGAAGCUUCGAUUCACCAGCUAACAAAAAAAACCACAGAAACUCGAAUCACCAGUGAAACCUCAACAAACUGAACCGGGUUGAAAGAAUGGAGGAGAAGCGUCCCAGAAUGCAUGCUCUGAUACCAUGAAAACAUGGCGGAUUGAGAGAAGGAUACAGUUUACAUCCGAUUUUGGCCAAAGAAAAUGAGAGAGACAAUUCAUUCUUUUACCAGAG
rnacentral:lncRNA from 1 species